UACGGAGGGUGCAAGCGUUAAUCGGAAUUACUGGGCGUAAAGCGUGCGUAGGCGGUUCGUUAAGUCUGUUGUGAAAGCCCCGGGCUCAACCUGGGAAUGGCAAUGGAUACUGGCGAGCUAGAGUGUGUCAGAGGAUGGUGGAAUUCCCGGUGUAGCGGUGAAAUGCGUAGAGAAUCGGGAGGAACAUCAGUGGCGAAGGCGGCCCAUCUGGGGACAACACGUGACGCUGGAGGCACGAAAAGCGUGGGGAGCAAACAGGG
rnacentral:rRNA from 1 species